rnacentral:rRNA from 1 species
UACACUGGUGGCGACCGGCGCACGGGUGAGUAACACGUGUGCAACCAACCCCGUACCGGGAGGUAACCCGCGGAAACGUGGACUAACAUCCCAUGAUACUCGAGAGCCGCAUGGCUCUCGAUUUAAAAUUCCGGUGGUACGGGACGGGCACGCGCGACAUUAGGUAGUUGGCGGGGUAACGGCCCACCAAGCCGACGAUGUCUAGGGGUUCUGAGAGGAAGGUCCCCCACACUGGAACUGAGACACGGUCCAG